UACGGAGGGUGCAAGCGUUAUCCGGAAUCACUGGGUUUAAAGGGGGCGUAGGCGGCCUAAUAAGUCAGUCGUGAAAUCGCUGGGCUCAACCCAUGCAAUUGCGAUUGAUACUGUUAGGCUUGAAUGGGGUUGAGGAUGGCGGAAUGCGACGUGUAGCGGUGAAAUGCUUAGAUAUGUCGCAGAACACCGAUUGCGAAGGCAGCCAGCUGGGCCCCUAUUGACGCUGAGGCACGAAAGCGUGGGGAGCACACAGG
rnacentral:rRNA from 1 species